ensembl:ncRNA asRNA:CR43468 antisense RNA:CR43468
GGAUUAGUUAGUCGUCUUGUAUUUCUUUCCGGCUAAGGUGGCACUGGGCACAUAAAAUUAAGUUACAUUUCUAAAACUGGAAUAGAAGCUAUGGAUCAUAAUGACCAGUCUAAUUGCGAGACAAUCCGAUAAUGGUCAGUAUGUACAUGAAGAUGUUAAUAAUGUCCAGGUAGAGGUUUAGAGCGGCGAAGAUGUAUUCCUCAGGACUGAUGGAGUACUUAUGAUUACCACCCAGCAUCAACUGGGUAUCGUACACCAAGUAAACGGAGAAGAGCAAUGCUCCCAAGGAGGCAUAGACCAGUCCGAUCACCUUGCCCGGUAUGAAGAUAGCGAUUAUACCAAAAAUGAUGAAGACCACCAGACAGGCCACCAACACUCCUCCGCACAUCGUAAAAUCGUAUUUGGUCUGCAGGGCAAACAGGGUGAGUCCCAGGGCCACCGCGGCCGUAAUUCCCACUGCCAUCAGGACCUCAUCAGCCUCAAACUGUCCGGCGACCAUACCCAGAAGGAACGACUCCGCCACGGUGAACAGGAAAAGAAAGAUGAAGUUAAGAGGCGUCUUACGGCGUACACUUUCGCAGCAGGCCAUACAGAUCAUGGUCACGAUAAGAACGGCCUGAGUUUAAAAAUUGGAUAUAUUUGUAUUCAAUAUUUAGCAUAAAAGUCGUAAAAACUUACCAAGGCUAUCCAAAACAGUGCCGGAUUUUUUUGCACCCAUUCCUGCGAAGCUUUCGAGAACGUAAAUACGCUAACAAAACCGAAAGUGAUCAGCAAUUGGCACUAGAAAUAGAGCGCGAUAUCAAAAUUAGAUUGCAGGAAGUCAAUAAAUCUUGAAGUUUUAAAGUGACCCAAAGCAGACAAUUCAAAUAUCAGCACUUACCAUCAAUAUCAAGUAGACCUUUCGAAUAAAUCCCUUCCGGAUGCUCUGGUCAUCGAAGGCGAAGCUCUUGUCCGCUUCCGCAUCUGUGUAUGCGCCAGUUUCAUCGCCUGUGUGGUUGGAAGACAAUUCAAGGAAGCAGGAAAGUUAAUGCAAUGACUAACCGUACUGAAAAUGAUUGUCGCUGCUCAUGGCUAAAUUGCUAUGACUAAACUUUAGUCACUUAAGUUACGGUGCUCUCUUUGCCCGACUGCCGGCAGCGUGCUAGUGUUUCAGCUUAAUGGAACCGAAUCGCCCUUUCUAGGUGUUCCCAUAUGGACGUAUGAGUUGAGAUUAGCCGGUUACCGGCUCUUAUCACAGCCCCACACUUCUACUCUAGAUAAGAUUUGUGUAUUGAUGUCGGUGAGUAACUGAUAUUGCCACCAUACAAUUUCAAAAUGGUUGUUCACUCUCCCUUCGAUUGGGUGAAUCACUGUUUUUGGGCUCAUAACGAAACCUUUUCAGCUGUCUUAUCAGAUGAAAAUGCGCCGAGAGAGAUAUAUUUUGUUGGCUCUUACUGAGAGAAAACGAUGCAGUCAAUAAGCUUUAUACAAUAGCCAAAUCGAUUAUCUAAUCUAAAGCACCUUUCCGUAGCCAAUUUGGUUUGGUUUCAGCCCAAUCCGGGCGGUACUUACCUUGCUGGUAGUGAUACAUUUUAUAGCUACGCCCUGCUGGAAUUCACACGAACUACUGAACAGGUGGCCGGGUCAAACGCAUGAUAUGGGGCCAACCCGAAAUUAAAACACCCGGACUUCUUUCUGUGGUGGUGCAGAUAACAAAGUUAACUUAAGCAAUGAUAAAGCAAAAAUGCAGACGAUAAUGGUCUGGAGUGUAGAAGUAAUCCAACCAACGGCGUCGCUCUGAAGUCGCAGACUAAAGUUGCAUCUGGUGGUGGCUGGCUGGUUGAACUGGAUGAACCACUGACGGAAGCCCUACAAUGCAGGGGUCUGUGGCUUUAAUAAAUAGAUGCGCUUUAUUGUUGACUUUAAACUCAGUGUCGCUGCAGGGAUUACAAUGUUCGGUACUUGAUUCAUAGUUGAAAAUCGGGAUUCCUUGGUUAUUACACACGGUUAAGUUUUAUGUGUUAACAACUGCAAGCCAACUUGCUUAUAUGUAUAUUUUUACAUAAAUAUGUUUAUACGUG